rnacentral:rRNA from 1 species
UAAUUAGUGACGUCUUCGGACGACACGCGGUGGCUUCACGGCCGUCGGCGUUGCUGGGAAGUUGACCAAACUUGAUCAUUUAGAGGAAGUAAAAGUCGUAACAAGGUU